rnacentral:rRNA from 1 species
UAAGUUCAAAGUCUUGACGGAGCACGCCGCGUUGAGUGUGAAGGUUUCGGAUCGUAAAGCUCUGUUGUUAGGGAAGAACAAGUGCCGUUCAAAUAGGGCGGCACCUUGACGGUACCUAACCAGAAAGCCACGGCUAACUACGUGCCAGCCG